rnacentral:rRNA from 1 species
CCCUUAGAUGUUCUGGGCCGCACGCGCGCUACACUGAUACGUUCAGCGAGUAUAUAACCUUGAUUGGAAAAUCUGGGUAAUCUUUUGAAUGCGUAUCGUGCUAGGGAUAGAUUAUUGCAAUUAUUAAUCUUGAACGAGGAAUUCCUAGUAAACGCAAGUCAUCAGCUUGCAUUGAUUACGUCCCUGCCCUUUGUACACACCGCCCGUCGCACAAACCGAUUGAAUGAUUCGGUGAAAAUUUUGGACAUCGAGAGUGGUGAUUAAUUUCGCUGCUCUUAAAUGGAAAGAAUUUAAACCUAAUUAUUUAGAGGAUUGUGAAGUCAUAACA